ACCCACAGCUAGAAACCAAAAAUAGGCAACCAACACAGGACUGACUAUACAUGGACAGAUCUCACCCACAGCUAGAAACCAGCAAUAGGCAACCAACACAGGACUGACUAUACAUGGAAAGAUCUCACCCAGAGCUAGAAACCAGCAAUAGGCAACCAACACAGGACUGACUAUACAUGGACAGAUCUCACCCACAGCUAGAAACCAGCAAUAGGCAACCAACACAGGACUGACUAUACAUGCAGACACCAUCUCACCCAGAGCUAGAAACCAGCAAUAGGCAACUAACACAGGACUGACUAUACAUGGACAGAUCUCGCCCAGAGCUAGAAACCAGCAAUAGGCAACCACCACAGGACUGACUAUACAUGCAGACACGAUCUCACCCAGAGCUAGAAACCAGCAACAGGCAACCAACACGGGACAAUACAUGGACAGAUCUCACCCAGAGCUAGAAACCAGCAAUAGGCAACCAACACAGGACUGACUAUACAUGGAAAGAUCUCACCCAGAGCUAGAAACCAGCAAUAGGCAACCAACACAGGACUAUACAUGGACAGAUCUCACCCAGAGCUAGAAACCAGCAAUAGGCAACCAGCACAGGACUGACUAUACAUGGACAGAUCUCACCCAGAGCUAGAAACCAGCAAUAGGCAACCAACACAGGACUGACUAUACAUGGACAGAUCUCACCCAGAACUAGAAACCAGCAAUAGGCAACCAACACGGGACUGACUAUACAUGGACAGAUCUCACCCAGAGCUAGAAACCAGCAAUAGGCAACCAGCACAGGACUGACUAUACAUGGACAGAUCUCACCCGGAGCUAGAAACCAGCAAUAGGCAACCAACACAGGACUGACUAUACAUGGACAGAUCUCACCCAGAGCUAGAAACCAGCAAUAGGCAACCAACACAGGACUGACUAUACAUGGACAGAUCUCACCCACAGCUAGAAACCAGCAAUAGGCAACCAACACAGGACUAUACAUGGACAGAUCUCACCCACAGCUAGAAACCAGAAAUAGGCAACCAACACAGGACUGACUAUACAUGGACAGAUCUCACCCACAGCUAGAAACCAGAAAUAGGCAACCAACACAGGACUGACUAUACAUGGACAGAUCUCACCCACAGCUAGAAACCAGAAAUAGGCAACCAGCACAGGACUAUACAUGGACAGAUCUCACCCAGAGCUAGAAACCAGCAAUAGGCAACCAACACAGGACUGACUAUACAUGGACAGAUCUCACCCAGAGCUAGAAACCAGCAAUAGGCAACCAACACAGGACUGACUAUACAUGGACAGAUCUCACCCAGAGCUAGAAACCAGCAAUAGGCAACCAACACAGGACUGACUAUACAUGGACAGAUCUCACCCAGAGCUAGAAACCAGAAAUAGGCAACCAACACAGGACUGAUUAUACAUGGACAGAUCUCACCCAGAGCUAGAAACCAGCAAUAGGCAACCAACACAGGACUGACUAUACAUGGACAGAUCUCACCCAGAACUAAAAAUACAGCAAUAGGCAACCAGCACAGGACUGACUAUACAUGGACAGAUCUCACCCAGAGCUAGAAACCAGCAAUAGGCAACCAACACAGGACUAUACAUGGAGAGAUCUCACCCAGAGCUAGAAACCAGCAAUAGGCAACCAACACAGGACUGACUAUACAUGGACAGAUCUCACCCAGAGCUAGAAACCAGCAAUAGGCAACCAACACAGGACUAUACAUGGACAGAUCUCACCCAGAGCUAGAAACCAGAAAUAGGCAACCAACACAGGACUGACUAUACAUGGACAGAUCUCACCCAGAGCUAGAAACCAGCAAUAGGCAACCAACACAGGACUGACUAUACAUGGACAGAUCUCGCCCAGAGCUAGAAACCAGAAAUAGGCAACCAACACAGGACUGAUUAUACAUGGCCAGAUCUCACCCAGAGCUAGAAACCAGCAAUAGGCAACCAGCACAGGACUGACUAUACAUGGACAGAUCUCACCCACAGCUAGAAACCAGAAAUAGGCAACCAACACAGGACUGACUAAACAUGGAAAGAUCUCACCCAUAGCUAGAAACCAGCAAUAGGCAACCAGCACAGGACCAUACAUGGACAGAUCUCACCCAGAGCUUAGAAACCAGCAAUAGGCAACCAACACAGGACUGACUAUACAUGGACAGAUCUCACCCAGAGCUAGAAACCAGAAAUAGGCAACCAACACAGGACUGACUAUACAUGGACAGAUCUCACCCAGAGCUAGAAACCAGCAAUAGGCAACCAACACAGGACUGACUAUACAUGGACAGAUCUCACCCACAGCUAGAAACCAGCAAUAGGCAACCAACACAGGACUAUACAUGGACAGAUCUCACCCAGAGCUAGAAACCAGCAAUAGGCAACCAACACAGGACUGACUAUACAUGGACAGAUCUCACCCAGAGCUAGAAACCAGCAAUAGGCAACCAACACAGGACUGACUAUACAUGGACAGAUCUCACCCAGAGCUAGAAACCAGCAAUAGGCAACCAACACAGGACUGACUAUACAUGGACAGAUCUCACCCAGAGCUAGAAACCAGCAAUAGGCAACCAACACAGGACUAUACAUGGCCAGAUCUCACCCAGAGCUAGAAACCAGCAAUAGGCAACCAGCACAGGACUGACUAUACAUGGACAGAUCUCACCCAGAGCUAGAAGCCAGCAAUAGGCAACCAACACAGGACUGACUAUACAUGGACAGAUCUCACCCACAGCUAGAAACCAGCAAUAGGCAACCAACACAGGACUAUACAUGGACAGAUCUCACCCAGAGCUAGAAACCAGCAAUAGGCAACCAACACAGGACUGACUAUACAUGGACAGAUCUCACCCAGAGCUAGAAACCAGCAAUAGGCAACCAACACAGGACUGACUAUACAUGGACAGAUCUCACCCAGAGCUAGAAACCAGCAAUAGGCAACCAACACAGGACUGACUAUACAUGGACAGAUCUCACCCAGAGCUAGAAACCAGCAAUAGGCAACCAACACAGGACUAUACAUGGCCAGAUCUCACCCAGAGCUAGAAACCAGCAAUAGGCAACCAGCACAGGACUGACUAUACAUGGACAGAUCUCACCCAGAGCUA